rnacentral:rRNA from 1 species
ACUGGCAGGCUAGAGUCUUGUAGAGGGGGGUAGAAUUCCAGGUGUAGCGGUGAAAUGCGUAGAGAUCUGGAGGAAUACCGGUGGCGAAGGCGGCCCCCUGGACAAAGACUGACGCUCAGGUGCGAAAGCGUGGGGAGCAAACAGGAUUAGAUACCCUGGUAGUCCACGCCGUAAACGAUGUCGAUUUGGAGGUUGUGCCCUUGAGGCGUGGCUUCCGGAGCUAACGCGUUAAAUCGACCGCCUGGGGAGUACGGCCGCAAGGUUAAAACUCAAAUGAAUUGACGGGGGCCCGCACAAGCGGUGGAGCAUGUGGUUUAAUUCGAUGCAACGCGAAGAACCUUACCUGGUCUUGACAUCCACAGAACUUUCCAGAGAUGGAUUGGUGCCUUCGGGAACUGUGAGACAGGUGCUGCAUGGCUGUCGUCAGCUCGUGUUGUGAAAUGUUGGGUUAAGUCCCGCAACGAGCGCAACCCUUAUCCUUUGUUGCCAGCGGUCCGGCCGGGAACUCAAAGGAGACUGCCAGUGAUAAACUGGAGGAAGGUGGGGAUGACGUCAAGUCAUCAUGGCCCUUACGACCAGGGCUACACACGUGCUACAAUGGCAUAUACAAAGAGAAGCGACCUCGCGAGAGCAAGCGGACCUCAUAAAGUAUGUCGUAGUCCGGAUUGGAGUCUGCAACUCGACUCCAUGAAGUCGGAAUCGCUAGUAAUCGUAGAUCAGAAUGCUACGGUGAAUACGUUCCCGGGCCUUGUACACACCGCCCGUCACACCAUGGGAGUGGGUUGCAAAAGAAGUAGGUAGCUUAACCUUCGGGAGGGCGCUUACCACUUUGUGAUUCAUGACUGGGGUGAAGUCGUAACAAGGUAACCGUAGGGGAACCUGCGGUUG